GUCUUUUUGAUAAUAAUUUAAAGUCUAAUCUGCCCACUGAUAAUAUUAAAGGGCUGCAGUAUUUUGACUGUACAAAGGUAGCAUAAUCAAUAGUUUUUUAAUUGAAAACUUGUAUGAAAGAUUUAAUGAAAUAUAAACUGUCUCAUUAUUAUUAUUAAAAAUUUAUUUUUUAGUUAAAAAGCUAAAAUAAUUUUAAAAGACGAGAAGACCCUAUAGAGUUUUAUGUUUUUAUUUAUUAAAAAAUUAUAUUAAAAUUAAUAAUUAGAAUAAAUAAAAAUAUUAUAUUGGGGUGAUAAAAAAAUAAAAUUAACUUUUUUAUAAUAAAAUACAGAUAAGUAAAUAAUUGAUCCAUAUAUAAUGAUUAAAAGAAAAAAUUACCUUAGGGAUAACAGCGUAAUAUUUUUUUUUAGUUCAAAUAAAAAAAAAAGUUUGCGACCUCGAUGUUGGAUUAAGAUAAAAUUUAAAUGCAAAAGUUUAAAAUUUUGAUCUGUUCGAUCAUUAAAAUCUU
rnacentral:rRNA from 1 species